rnacentral:pre_miRNA from 1 species
CAUAGAGUCAUAGUAGAGACAGAGUUAGACUAGUAUAUAUAGAGUCAUAGUAAAUGGUCUAACUCUGUCUCUACUAUGACUCGACA